rnacentral:rRNA from 1 species
UUUAUAGGUAUGGUAGGAGAGCGUUCUAUGUGUGGAGAAUGUGUACCGUGAGGAGCGCUGGAACGCAUAGAAGUGAGAAUGCCGGUAUGAGUAGCGAAAGACAGGUGAGAAUCCUGUCCACCGUAAGACUAAGGUUUCCAGGGGAAGGCUCGUCCGCCCUGGGUUAGUCGGGACCUAAGGAGAGACCGAAAGGUGUAUCCGAUGGACAACAGGUUGAUAUUCCUGUACUAGAGUAUGUAGUGAAGGAGGGACGCAGUAGGCUAACUAAAGCGUGCGACUGGAAGUGCACGUCUAAGCAGUGAGGUGUGAAUUGAGUUAAAUGCUUAAUUCUAUAACAUUGAGCUGUGAUGGGGAGCGAAGUUUAGUAGCGAAGUUAGUGAC